ensembl:lncRNA
AAUCAGAGAUGGAGGCCUUAAUCACAAAUCUUGCUUCGGGAAAACGGCGUACCUACAUUGUCAUCAUUGUGAUCUUUACCAUUUCUGUUUUAUUUAGCGGCAACUUUGAAUGCACUUGCAAAUCACAAGUGUCUGACUGCAGCAUUUACAUGUUUCUGCCUUCUAUAAUAAUAUUUCUCUUAAUGCUGUGGACCAGCAGCUCCUUUCAGAGAGUCUCUAGAUUCACAUGUGUUGGUACAUGUGGCUCUAAAUGCUGCAGGUUUUGCGGUUCGUUUCUCCGUCACUUUUUAAAGGCAUCUUUGGUUAGUGUGCUGUGGGCUGCAUAUCUGUUUUUCAGUGGAGACUGGUAUGUCUGCUGUAUGAGCCAUCUCUCUAACAGAACAGAAGAGGCACAGUUACCCUGCAAAGACAAGUGGAAGCUCACUAUUGAGGAGCGACUACGCAUCACUGAGCUGAACAACGAGUCCAGGAGAGUUGGCUACUUUUUGCUCAUGUUUGUCAAUGGAGCAACAGCACUGAUAUCAUUAAUUAACUGGAGAAAAUGCUGUAAAAAAAUAUCAAGUUGCUUUGACAGAAGAAAAACCUAUUACAAACUGAUUUUGGAGGAGGAGGGCUUGGUGCGGAAAGACCUUUUAAGGAAAAAGGCCAAAGAAAAGCUGACUGAUUUCCUGAAGACAAUGAUUGAGGAAGGACAAUGGGAAAAGUGUUUCAAUGCUGCAGAAGAACUGAUUAAAAGGGAAGAGAACUCACCAUUUGAACUGGAGGAGGUCGGAACAGUACAAUUUCAGCACCGUAAAUCAUCUGACUCAGAACAAAGGCUACUGGAGAUUUGAGAAGGCUGACCAGAUGAAUGCAAAGCAUGUCUUUAUCCUGUCUUCCUUCUCUCACCCCAACUGUCGCAGCAGAUGGCCCCGCCCCUCCC